UGCACACCUCGGCCUCCCAAAAUGCCGGGAUUACAGGCAUGAGCCACCACGUGGCCUCAUUUGCUCUCUACACCAACCUGCAAUUUACGUUUGAACCCCUGGAGUGGCAGCAUAAUCUUUAUCAGACUUCCCUCCCUCCAGGUCAGGACCCCUUCCCUUCUCCAGGUACCCGCUUCCUACUCCCCACAUGCCACCUCGGCUUCCCCACCUCUCCCUUGCCCCUGUGUCCCACCCACUCCUGUACAGAAUUCUGCUAUCUUAAUCUCUUUCUUUGGAAACUCCUGUCAUUUGUAAUUAUCCCCCAUUUCCUUCCUCUACCUCAGCCUUUUUUUCCCAGGCCACCUUCGCCUUCUCAGCUUUCUUUUCAAAGAUGCUGCAUUUUUUUUCCUCCUUAUUUGGACCAACAUGACCUGACAGGGUGGCUGAAACGGCAUACUGGGGAUAGAAAUAUGUGCCAGUUCCCUCCAUAGGUUUUUGUGUUUUUUUGAAUGGGGCAUUUGCAAUCAAUUUAUGGAGUUUAGCUGAAAGGUUAAGGAGUUUUCACUUAAAAAUCAACCUCCCCAAAGGAAAAUAUUUGGUACAUCUUUUCUUUCAUUGUAAUUGAGGUCUCCACAUGCGCCUAUGCUUAGGAUCUAUUCUGGAAAAGGCUCCCAGAGAAAAACCUGUCUAGUCCAUUCAACUUCUACUCCAGUCUUAUGAAAAUGGAUUUCAUAAACAGUAGAGAACAUAUUUGUCCUUUUAUCUUCUUCAGGAUUAUCUCUCAGAGAAGUGAUGUCAAAAGGAGGUGCUUCUAAUGAUGCCAAAGGUGGGGAUGAGACUAAGCGCGUCAGUUCAAGGGUCCACGUGUAUUUGAGUGCAUCCAGGAGAGGUCUCUAUGGACAUAAAUGUCUAUGGAACAAAACAAGACAAAGCAACCUUGAAUUAUUAGCUGAGACCUAACUCCAAACCGUCCUGCAAACUACAGCACAUCCAGGCUCUAUCUCACGGAGAUUUCCUUUUCUUAAGCUAAGUGGCCCUGAAGGAGUCUGGGGAGGAUGCUGGUGACAUCCCCACCCAGACCCUGUUACUGGGCCGGUGCCCCCACACUCCUGCUGCUCUGAGUGGGGCCUACUAAAAACUCACAGCUCCUGCCUUCUCUAGAGAUUUCACCCACAGGACUUCUUCAGCAAUAGGAGACACUUCACUGGAAACAUACAUGCCCCUCACAACUGUCCCCUGCAGCCUGCAUCCAAUGACUAACCAAUAGGAGAUAUGAGAGGACACCCCUUGUUUCAAAGUCAGACCAACUUUGCCAUGUCAUAUAAGCCAUGCAAACCAGACCAUACAAGCCAUGCCCCGGAGCUCCCUGUGGGAUAAGGCUUAAGCUGGAUCCCAGCUGGGACCACAUUUUGGCCUAGUUCCUCCCUUUCCUGUCCUGCUUUCCUCACUUCCACAAUAAAUCAUGCAUACCCACAUCCUUGUCUCAGGCUCUGCAUUCAGGGAACCAGAUCUAAACCGGACUCCAAUGCCAAGUCAGCCAAGGGAUCUGCCCAUCAAUGUCCAGACCUCAGUCUCAGGUCUUGCCACUGCAGGGUGAGGAAAGAUCCCAUGCACUGAGAGAAGCAGGAGAGACUACAGCAGCAGACGCUUGCCACAGUGCUGUUCUAUACUACUUGAUCCAGAUUUGCUGGAGCUCCUCUGGUGGAGAGAGUCACAGGCUUGUGCCUCUUGGCAGGCUCAAGAAAAAAAGUAUAUCAAAAUGGGAUGGAGAGUGUCAAACAGAAAGAAAGAUGACCUUCUCUGAUGGAGCUGGGCUCCAGGUUCAUAAGAAAACCAAUAGCCCAGAGAUGCAGGAGAGCAUGUCUUUAGGCCCCAGCAACUAUGGAAGCAAGAGAGUUGAAGAGACAUGCAUUAUUUAUUCCUGGCCUUUUAGACAUGCCCAGUGAAUGCUCCAUCUCAUCUAUCAUAAGCGUUUCUCCCCUUUGUGGGUGGAAUAGGGUGGAUGAGAAGGGAUUGAGUGCAGUCUUGGUAGGGAAUGGAUAGAGAAAAGGAGAAGUGAAGUGGUGCUCUCCUCCCAGAGGCCACCUUUACUCUACCUCUCACUUCUUGGCUAUCAAAUUCUUCCUACCCCUCCUCUCUGGGAAGUCUUAGCCCACAGUUGUCUUUUGCUUCUAUCAGCUUCUCUUCCACUUUCCUGCCUGACCCAACUCCUUGUCAUUCAUUCAACAAAUAUUUCCUAAAUGCCCACUGGUCUCUCCUGCUUCUCUCAGCACGUGGGACUUUUUUUCUCACCCUGAAUUGGCACGACCUGAGAUUGAGGUCUGGACAUUGAUGGGGCAGAUCCCUUGGCUGACUUGGCAUUGGAGUCUGGUUUAGAUCUGGUUGCCUGGAUGCAGAGCCUGAGACAAGGAUUUGGGUAUGCAUGAUUUUUAGGGGUUGGGUACUUUUCCGGACAUUGGGGAUUUAUUAGCAAAUAGCUGCCAUUUGUUCCCAAUGGGGAAAGACACAAUAAACAUACAAACAGCUAAAUUGGGCACAUUAGGCUAGUGAUAGGUGAUAUGAAGAAAAUAAAACAAGAGAAUCAUGUACUUAUCAUGCUAGUGUUUGUUUCUGUGAGUCUCAUCUGCCCUGUGAAGUUGCAAGUGCUUCGUGGGCAGAGAUCUCCACUAAUACUUCUUUGCUUCUUCCAAGGAGCCUGGUCCAGAGCCUUAUCUAAGCAUCAUAAGAAAUCAACACAAACUUCAUGAUUUCUGGACAGCAAUUACACUCAGGAUUUUCAACUCUGGACCAGCCUCAGGUUUCACUCCUUUUGCCCUUGGACUUCACCCAUUGUGUGCUUUGUGUGCAGUGGUGUGAAUGCGGUCUCCCAGGGCCUGCGUUUGAGCUGGCUGCUGCUUGCUGGUGUGUGACCUACGCUGAGUCUCGACUUUCAUAGUCUCACCUCCCUUCCGGGAAAGGCAAGGAAGGUGAGAAUGCCCACUCCAAAGGGUUGUGGAGGACAGAAUGGGAUGAUCCAUCUUCUAUGACAAGAGGGUGAUGGACUAAGUACUGAUUAGUGAGAAAGCCAGGAUCAGCCUCAGGGGAUCCACAAGGCGCAUUGGACCCAUGGCCCUGGCCACCUGGUCAGCUUCAAGGGAGUCUUGGCCACUGGUUUUGGUCUUGAUCAAGGUCCUGAGCAUAGGCCUUUAGGAGUCAGCAGAGGAUGUGGGAGAAAGGUUCUCUCCAGCCUUCCUACUGCCACAUAUCAGGAUUCAUCUUUUCUCUCCUCAAACUGAUACCUUCCCAAUGUCCGCAUUUCUCUCCCUACUUAGGCUUGAAACCCCAGGUUUGCCUUUGCUUUUCCUUUUUCUUAUCCUAUUCCUCUACUCAGAAGCCAGGUCUCCCAGGUCCUGUGUUUUGUUUUCUCCAACUCCCAUCAUUUUCUUUCCUUUACUCCUGCCCCGCUUCCAGUUCUAGGUCCUUACUUUGCAUUUUGGGGUGGUUGGUGUAACUUCCUCAUCGGUAUCUCUGACUCCUGCUUCUCCUCUUCACACUCCAUCUGGCAUACUCAGAGAUCCAGCUGAAAAAUAGAAGGACUCUAGGAGAAAAUAGUGCGGACCCCUUUUGCUGGCAUUUUGAGCUCUCUGCUACUGGCCCUCUCUACCUUCGUAGCUUCCAUCUGCCAGGCAGCAGCCAGCUUGUCCACUCACUGCUCCCUGAACGUAUCUGGUGUCUCCCUGCCUCUGAGCUUUUGCUCAUGCUGUUCCUGCUGUUGAGGAUGCUGGAUUUGCCCUGCUCUUCAACACCCAGUUAAGAGGUAGUCCCUGAUGCCACAAUCAGCUGGGAACUCGAUAUCACCUCUGCAAUUUGUACCCCUGAUCUUACACCUUUUGCAUGAUACUUACAUUCAGAUUGAUACUCUAGGAGUUCUUGAUUUUUUUUGUGAUAUUACUGAGGGAGCUUUACUUUUUUAGACCCUGACAUGAGAAUGUCAGCCAUGUUUGUCGAGAAUGUGAGUUCUCUCCAGCAGCAGAUGCUGAGUCCGGUAGAGCUGAGAUGAGGACACCUGACACAACCCAAGUGGGUGUCUGUGGUUGCACUUGAGUGGCAGGGGAUGGAGGAGCAACCAGGGAGAUGGCAAAAUAUGAUGUGUCCCGCUUAAUGUUCCUUCUUCCUGGGAUUCUCCAAAUCUUCAGUAAAGAUAAAAUUCUUGAAGCAAGAAGAAUUUCUGUAGAACCAGAGAAAACAUUGACUCAUGGGUCGGUGGCAUCCCAGGUGACCUAGGAGUGGGUGGGCCAAAGAAACAUGAAGAGCCCACCUGUCAGCUGCCUGCAGGGACUGUGGAGAUGCCUUGGUUCCCAUGAAAGGUGACGAGUGUAGUUUCUGAUGAGUUCAAUGCCAUUUCUUUUGCAGAGUGGCUUGGGGGAACCCAGAUGGCAUCUGGGAUAGAUUUCUCAUCCUGUCUGAGAGAUUCUUGGGGAAGAAUGCUAAAAUCCUUCCUUUUAGUUCCUCUGGUUCGAUGCCUAGCACAGCAAUUGUUGAUUUAAAUAGAGAUACUGAGGCAGGUGGUGAUUUCUUUGCAGGGGAGUACGUGCUACCAGACAGUUUGUUUCUCCUACUUAGUAUUACAUAACGUGCUCUUUCUCCCAUUUUUAUAUAUGAUCCUCACAGUGAGCAUGGAUGAGAGACUUUGUAUACAGAGAAAGAAAAUGGGACUCACAGAGGGUGAAUGACUUCCUGAAGAUCGCACAGUUAGAAAGUGGCAGAGCUGGGACUUAAAUCCAGAGUUCCUGGCUGCAAAUCUAGUGCUUGGUCAGUCUUCCAUACCAGGCAGACUCCUGAGUUCUUAUACAUCAAGUAAGGCUGAACUGGGAGAAUCUGGGAAGCUGGAUUGCAGUGCCCUCUCUAUUAACUCCCAAAGGAAAAUGAUAUAAUUUGAGAGUAUGAGCUGAUGCUAGGACUCUCUCUUCUUUCUUACAUUAUCUUCAUGGAACAUUUUGGUCAUGUACAGAUACGAAAGAGUCCCCAGAAUGUCUUCCAAAGGAAUUUCAGGACCCUAAAGCCUGGAAGCAUCAGAAAACAUUAGUCAUCUGGAUCACUGAACCAGAGCACUGCUUUGAAAUGUAAAGGAUUCCUGCAUGAAUGUCCACUCCACCCAGAAGACCGUCAUUGUUGCUGGUAGAAAUGUCUGCAAGAGAGUGAGUAAGCCCCUUCCUCCUGCUAGACACUUGGAUACUUGGCAGACUUUUGCAAAACCGACCUAACAAGGACCUGGCCCCAGACAGUGGGACAAUGAAGAUUUCAACAUUGUUUAUGACAGCCUGUUGCUGUAUUGUAAGUGACCUCAGUACCCCGCUUCUGAAGGAAGAGUUUAUACGCUAAGAAGCCCGGAAGAUAUGUGGUGUGGAGUGAUGGAUGGAGUGUUUAGGGGUGAGGGAUGGUGAGGAGUUGGGGAGGGGAAGCAGGUGCUGAUCUUGAGGCCAUUUGCAGUGGUGUUGGGACUCAUGCCAAUUAUAAUCCCAAAAGGCAUAAUUGCUAAAGAUCACAAUUUCUAGAGUCUAAAUGCCCUAACAUCUAAAAUCCAGAAAAUCACAAUCCCAAAAGAUUAAAAUCCCUAAUAUUGAAAAUUUGAAAGCCAAAUUCUGGAGGAGGGAUUAAUGCAUUUUUGGUUGUACACAGGAUAGUUGUAUCAUGUUAGUUCCAUCAAGUUAGCUGGAACUAUUACCUUAUUAUUGUCUUGACACAAUUACCAAGGUUAUUGUACCUUGAUAAUGGAUUGGCCAUGAAGUAUGGCAAUGAUAAAAUCUUCGGUUUAAAGAUGCAUCAUUUGUCUGCGUUAGCAUCCUUUCCAUCUAAUGAAAUUCCAGGAGCUUUGAAUGAAUGAAUGCUACAUUUACCUGAAGAAGCCAGCCAUUACUGACUGGCUCAAAAAUAAUUGUGUAUAUGAUAGGAUAAGAAGACACUUAUGCAACAAUGGUGCUGUUUGAUCACCAGUAUUGUUUCUGCCAAAUAUGUGGCCUGUAGAUGAGUGCAUUCCAAAUAGGUACCUGGGUGCCCAAAGUGACAUAGAAACACGGCACAGAAGAUGGAAAAAUCGAAUAGGGAAUGCUCGUCGUGUUGGGGUCUAUUAAAUCACAGAAGAAUUUCAAAAACAGCAGUGCCAUGUAGAAAAUGAAAGUGAACAUAUUCUCCAUGGGGAGCCGUGCCCUAAAAGAAAAAAAAGUAGCUAUUCAUCUCGAUGCAAGACUUCAAAACAUAGUUAAUGAUUGUAAAAGUUGGGCAGCUCUUAUGGACUGUCUCCGUGCAAUUGCCCAUAAUCUGUCCUUGUAAUACACUUUUUCAUGUCAAAGCUUCUUUUUUGUUUUGUUUUAGUUUUUUCUUUUCUUUCUUUUUUAAAGUUUUUUUCCACCACUACUUAAAAUUAUCAGUGUUAUCUUUUACAAUUUGCUAUGUUAUAUAUUUCAUCUUUGCAUCAUUUUCAAUACUGGAGGUAUAGAUUGUGUAAAGGCUUUUUAAAGAGUUCUAAUUCAUUUUAUGUAUUUUUUUUUGAAGAUUUGACUCCAUGAAGGUGCAUUAUCACAAUGUUGGCUUUGUGCGUAAGCAUUAUAUGUGUACGUAAAAAUGUGGAAACUUCCUCAAUAAAUGAGAGAUGUCCUUUUUGUACAUUUGCACUUGUGAAAGGUAAAAUUCUAGAACUCAGCUCUUUGGGUAACUUGCCUGUGCUGUGGUGAUGACCCACUGAGGUUUUUUAACUAUCUUGUCAAAUGACUUAGGUUGUCCAUCAUGAUAUUUCAGUGACUGCAAUUAUAAAGCUGGGUGCACACAAUUACCAACGAUAGUGAUAUGUGUUUAUACAAUUCACUUUUUGACCUGUUUCCCUAUAAAUCUGGCUUGUCUGCUUGUAACUAUUAUACCCUUGUGACUGUCCUAAGCACACUUAAGUGUUUGUGCUCCAAAAAUAUGUAUUCUAUUAUUGGCUAUUUUAAUUGCAUAAAGUAAAUUAUAAAGUAUUCUGUCAUGUUCUUGUAUGUUUCUCAAAUAAAUCCUCUUUUAAAAAUGUAAA